rnacentral:rRNA from 1 species
GACGAACGCUGGCGGCGUGCUUAACACAUGCCAGUCGAACGGAAAGGCCCUGCUUUUGUGGGGUGCUCGAGUGGCGAACGGGUGAGUAACACGUGAGUAACCUGCCCUUGACUUUGGGAUAACUUCAGGAAACUGGGGCUAAUACCGGAUAGGAGCUCCUGCUGCAUGGUGGGGGUUGGAAAGUUUCGGCGGUUGGGGAUGGACUCGCGGCUUAUCAGCUUGUUGGUGGGGUAGUGGCUUACCAAGGCUUUGACGGGUAGCCGGCCUGAGAGGGUGACCGGCCACAUUGGGACUGAGAUACGGCCCAGACUCCUACGGGAGGCAGCAGUGGGGAAUAUUGCACAAUGGGCGGAAGCCUGAUGCAGCAACGCCGCGUGCGGGAUGACGGCCUUCGGGUUGUAAACCGCUUUCGCCUGUGACGAAGCGUGAGUGACGGGAAUGGGUAAAGAAGCACCGGCUAACUACG